ACUCGAGUGGCGAACGGGUGAGUAACGCGUGGGUGAUCUGCCCUGCACUUCGGGAUAAGCUUGGGAAACUGGGUCUAAUACCGGAUAGGAGCCAUUUUUAGUGUGAUGGUUGGAAAGUUUUUCGGUGUAGGAUGAGCUCGCGGCCUAUCAGCUUGUUGGUGGGGUAAUGGCCUACCAAGGCGGCGACGGGUGGCCGGCCUGAGAGGGUGGACGGCCACAUUGGGACUGAGAUACGGCCCAG
rnacentral:rRNA from 1 species